rnacentral:misc_RNA from 1 species
UCUCCGUUGGUGAACCAGCGGAGGGAUCAUUACAGGACUCGCAAGACUCCUACAACCCUGUGAACUUAACUAUAAGCACGUUGCUUCGGCGGGUGUCUCGGAGGGGGUUCUCCCUCCCCGAGACGCUAAACCCGCCGGCAGCCUACUAUACUCUGUCUCUUUGCGUUGGCAUCUCGAGUACAAUCAAACAAGUUAAAACUUUCAACAACGGAUCUCUAGGUUCUGGCAUCGAUGAAGAACGCAGC